UACGUAGGGCGCAAGCGUUGUCCGGAAUUAUUGGGCGUAAAGAGCGUGUAGGCGGCCAGGUAGGUCUGCUGUGAAAACUCGAGGCUCAACCUCGAGACGUCGGCGGAAACCAUCUGGCUAGAGUCCGGAAGAGGAGAGUGGAAUUCCUGGUGUAGCGGUGAAAUGCGCAGAUAUCAGGAAGAACACCCGUGGCGAAGGCAGCUCGCUGGGACGUGACUGACGCUGAGACGCGAAAGCGUGGGGAGCAAACAGG
rnacentral:rRNA from 1 species